AUCCUUAAAUCUAAAGGGUUUGGCGGUUCUCAAAUCAAAUAGGAGGAACUUGUUAUUUAAUCGAUGAUCCGCGUUAAAUCUUAUUUUAAUACUUAUUUUGUUUGUAUACCGUCAUCUAAAAAACAUUUUUUGAUGUUUUUAAAUAAACUAAUUAAAUUAAUUAUGUUAGAUCAAGGUGCAGCUUAUAUUAAAGUAUAAUAAUGAGUUACAAUUUUUAUAAAAUAAUUAUUUGAAUAGAUUUAACUUAAAAUAGUUUCUUGAAAGCGGAUUCUAAAGUAAUAUUAUAUUAGCACAUAUUUAUGACUUUUGUUCUUGAUAAUGUACAUAUCGCCCGUCGCUCGSGGGAA
rnacentral:rRNA from 1 species